AGGCUCAUAUGGAGUUGUUGCUUCUUUAAUUUGCAAAUGCUUAAAUUUAAGAAGCAAUUUCUCAAUAUAAUUUGUUCCAUCAAAUUUGCCUAACUUAUAGACAUCUUCUUGAUUGAUAACCUUCAUAGCCAUGCUAUCAGAUUUGAUCUCCAUGACGAAUAACACUUUAAGAUUGUUGAGUAAAAACUUAAAUAUGAAGAAGGACUU
rnacentral:lncRNA from 1 species